rnacentral:rRNA from 1 species
AUUGAACGCUGGCGGCAGGCUUAACACAUGCAAGUCGAGCGGAGAGAGGUAGCUUGCUACUGAUCUUAGCGGCGGACGGGUGAGUAAUGCUUAGGAAUCUGCCUAUUAGUGGGGGACAACAUUUCGAAAGGAAUGCUAAUACCGCAUACGUCCUACGGGAGAAAGCAGGGGAUCUUCGGACCUUGCGCUAAUAGAUGAGCCUAAGUCGGAUUAGCUAGUUGGUGGGGUAAAGGCCUACCAAGGCGACGAUCUGUAGCGGGUCUGAGAGGAUGCUCCGCCACACUGGGACUGUGACACGGCCCAGACUCCUACGGGAGGCAGCAGUGGGGAAUAUUGGACAAUGGGCGGAAGCCUGAUCCAGCCAUGCCGCGUGUGUGAAGAAGGCCUUAUGGUUGUAAAGCACUUUAAGCGAGGAGGAGGCUACUUUAGUUAAUACCUAGAGAUAGUGGACGUUACUCGCAGAAUAAGCACCGGCUAACUCUGUGCCAGCAGCCGCGGUAACAC